UACAGGGGGGGCAAGCGUUGUUCGGAAUUACUGGGCGUAAAGGGUCUGUAGGUGGCCAACUAAGUCAGACGUGAAAUCCCUCAGCUUAACUGGGGAACUGCGUCUGAUACUGGAUGGCUUGAGUGUGGGAGAGGAAUGCGGAAUUCCAGGUGUAGCGGUGAAAUGCGUAGAUAUCUGGAGGAACACCGGUGGCGAAGGCGGCAUUCUGGACCAUAACUGACGCUGAGACGCGAAAGCGUGGGGAGCAAACAGG
rnacentral:rRNA from 1 species